rnacentral:rRNA from 1 species
GAGCGCCCCGCAAGGGGAGCGGCAGACGGGAGAGUAACACGUGGGAACGUACCCUUCAGUUCGGAACAACCCAGGGAAACUUGGGCUAAUACCGAAUACGUCCGUAAGGAGAAAGAUUUAUCGCUGAAGGAUCGGCCCGCGUCUGAUUAGCUAGUUGGUGAGGUAACGGCUCACCAAGGCUACGAUCAGUAGCUGGUCUGAGAGGAUGAUCAGCCCCACUGGGACUGAGACACGGCCCAGACUCCUACGGGAGGCAGCAGUGGGGAAUAUUGGACAAUGGGCGCAAGCCUGAUCCAGCCAUGCCGCGUGGAUGAUGAAGGCCUUAGGGUUGUAAAGUCCUUUCGGCGGGGAAGAUAAUGACGGUACUGGUGGAAGAAGCACCGGCUAACUCUGUGCCAGCAGCCGCGGUAAUACAGAGGGUGCGAGCGUUGUUCGGAAUUAUUGGGCGUAAAGGGCGCG